UUGAACGCUGGCGGCAGGCCUAACACAUGCAAGUCGAGCGGAUGAAGGGAGCUUGCUCCUGAAUUCAGCGGCGGACGGGUGAGUAAUGCCUAGGAAUCUGCCUGGUAGUGGGGGACAACGUUUCGAAAGGAACGCUAAUACCGCAUACGUCCUACGGGAGAAAGCAGGGGACCUUCGGGCCUUGCGCUAUCAGAUGAGCCUAGGUCGGAUUAGCUAGUUGGUGAGGUAAUGGCUCACCAAGGCGACGAUCCGUAACUGGUCUGAGAGGAUGAUCAGUCACACUGGAACUGAGACACGGUCCAGACUCCUACGGGAGGCAGCAGUGGGGAAUAUUGGACAAUGGGCGAAAGCCUGAUCCAGCCAUGCCGCGUGUGUGAAGAAGGUCUUCGGAUUGUAAAGCACUUUAAGUUGGGAGGAAGGGUUGUAGAUUAAUACUCUGCAAUUUUGACGUUACCGACAGAAUAAGCACCGGCUAACUCUGUGCCAGCCGCCGCGGUAACAC
rnacentral:rRNA from 1 species